CUCCAAUUUUUUUUUUUUUUUUUUUUUUUUUUUUAGUGCUUAAAAAUUCUUUAACAUUUUCAAUUAUUUCCCUCUCGCCAAUUGCAUUUAAUCCUUGGAGCACUUAUUUUUAUUUUUGCACUCUUAAUGAGUUCUUGAUCAUGUCGCUUCUGAAAGAAGUAAGCCUGCUUCACGCGGACUUGCCCUAUUGAGGAUCUUUCAGGUUUCUGUGAGGUGGAUUCUAAUCUACUAAUAGAGCAGUGUGUGCUGCAUGUCUCUACCCUAUAAGGCCCCUUCCUCUUGCUUCCUACUUCCUAUAUAGCUUACUCUUUCAAAGAAGAAACCAUUCAAAAAUGUUACCUCCUUCCUCAGGCCUUUAGAGCUAGGAGUUUUUACCAUUGUGUCUGUAGUGACUAAUGGGAGAGAAGUGUACGAAAUCGAAUCGCAGUCUUUCAAGAGCAGAAGGAUUUGCCUGCCACAAGAGGGCUAAAUGGUAACCCUCAAGUCCUCUUACUGAGCAAUUGUGUUUCUGUUCAAUAAGCUUUUUAAACUGCAUUUUCCUUGUAAGAACUUAUUUUCUUUUAAGUCAGUUCAUUUCUAUCAAAAAGAGUUCAACUAUAUGCCUUAAGCUGUUACUCAAUACAUGUUUGUGUUAUUUAUACCAUUUGAAAAAUUGAUAUAUAUGUGGGGUGGCAAAUGAGAUGAGUGAAGGCAGUUAGUACUAAUGAAUUACCUCUUAGUAAAUUCUUCUAAUUGAUUUCAUAGAGGUGUUUCAACCAGUUGUAGGCAUACACGUGGAAAUGUUCUUCCUUUUCUCAUAACUGCUAAUACCUAUACAAUGUCAAAUCCCCUUUGCUGGGUGGAAAUGAGUUCCUUGAAUAAAAAAAAAAACAUUCAGUUUGAUUCCAUCUUUUGAAGGUAACUUGUAUCUGAAUUUUACUGCAAUUAUAUUUCCAUCUAAUAUUGAUGUUCUAAAUAAUCCUUCUUACUCUAGCAUAAACAUAGAUGAGACUCAUACCUCUGGAUGGAAGCUAUGCGUGGUUUAUUCUCUUUCAAUUCCUUUCAUCUCCUCAGGGUUUUCUCUUUGUCUACUGAUGAGAAGAGGGGGAAAAAGAAAAGAAGAUUCCUCAUACCAGCACUCUUGGUGUCAAAGCAUUGUUAUUUGUCCUGGCUGUAUUCCAAUUCCUGAUCCACAUGUCUUGCUUCUGCAAUAG
rnacentral:lncRNA from 1 species